rnacentral:lncRNA from 1 species
AAAUUUCUUCACAGCGUCGCCGACCGUGAGGAAUAUCUUGUCUUCACCAAUCAUGUCCGUGAAUUUCGCUGAGCGGAGCUUCUGGAUCACCGCCGGCCCGGGAUUGGUAAGAACCAGCUGUAAGUAAAAGGAACAGAUUUUGAUCUUAGUGAGGUGUUCUUCUUCUUCAGUGACAAUUUCUAUGUUGACGAGCACCACUACCAGACUCCUAGUAGUUGUAAUUGCUUGUUAUGAGAUCUGGCGUCUUACCUGAAUUUUGCGUUUUUCAAGAGCUUUCGCCAACUCCUCCAAAGCAUGGAUUCCACUUGUGUCGAUAUCAAUUACAGCUGUUGAGAACCAGAACAAUGUUUUCGAUCACUAUAUUGGAACAUACAUAAAAAGAUAGCAUAUACUCAGAUAUGUUCUUGUGACUUACGAGACAGGUCAACAAUUAGAAACUCAGUUUUUGUUAACUUCUGGUCCUGUUGUUGCUCCUCCUCAUCUCUUAGCCACCUCAGGAUUCUGAAAUUUAGAUUCUAUUUAAGCACUGCUUUCCCUCUUUAGCUGAUUCUUCUAAUCACUAGCGUCUUAUGCUUUCAUUUUAAUGGUUUUACAUUCUUCUCGAACUCUUAAAGUACAGCAUGGUCCACCUCUUUUUUUUUGUCAAAAAAAACCACUGUAUCCAUGGUAAUAACAAAAAAGAAAGCAAAAUAUGCCACUAUAAAAACCCUAUAGUAGUAAUAAUUCCUGUGACAGAAGCUCAUAUUGAAUGCAAGCAUUUUACCUCUCUUUAACAUAGUUAGAGUUUGUGAAGUAUAUAGCUGAGUCCACUCUAACAAUCAGCACCCCUGGAACCUUGGUAGCAUCAGGAUACUGUUCUACAUUCCUGUAUAUAGUUGUUCGUGGAAGGUUUCCAAGUAAAACUGUUCUUGGCCGUGUUACUUGGAGAAGAAUUUUAGCAAGAGAUAUUGCAACCUAUUCACAAAAGGUUUUACAGACAUCAGCUCAUUGUCUACUACUCUCUCUGUUCCAAAUUAUAAUGCAUUUCAAUUUUCUUGGAGAGUCAAAAGAUCUUAAGUUUGACUAAAACUAUAGAGCAAAUUACAAAUAUUUAUGACAUCAAAUAGGUAUGCUAUGAAAAUAUAAUUAAUGAAGAAUAUAAUGAUACUUAUUCUGUAGCAUAUAUGUUAUUGUUUUAUUACAUAAAUUCGGUCAAACUUGAGAUCCUUUGACUCUCCAAGAAAGUUUGAACAACCUAUAAUUUGGGACUGAGAAUAUAUAUAGGAACUCAAUUGUUGGUAGCAUAAACGAAAUAGUUGCGAUUCAUACCGCAAUGAGCAAGCCAUACUCCACCGAUGAAAAUAUGACUCCAAAAAAUGCUCCCAUGCAUGCUAGAAAGUCCAGUUUGUCAACUUUCCAGAUAAGGUAAGCCGAUUCAUAGUCAAUUAAACCAAGCACUGCUGAUAUGAUGAUCGAGGAAAGGAUGGCAUUUGGAGUGUACUUGAACAAUGGGGUGAUCAGUAGCAAAGUAAGCAUUACGACAAUUGACAUAACAACGUUUGACACUGCUGUUUUGCAGCCAGCCAUGUAAUUAACUGCUGACCGCGAGAAAGAACCUGCAAUGAACGACUUCUGUCAAAAGGAUGAUGCAUCUGUAUGGUGCAAUGAAUUGUUAGUUUUUUUCUGAAUUAAUUGGUACCUGUGGCUACGUAGCAAGAAGUCAGUGAACCAACAAUGUUCAUGGUCCCUAGAGCCAUCAUUUCUUUGUUCCCAUCUAUCUGGUAAUCCUUGAGGGCUGCAAAUGUUCUUCCAAUUGCAAUCGCUUCCUGAUAAAGUUUGCAUCAGUUGAAUAAUUAGCACAUUUUUUGUCAUAGAAAACUUUUCCACGUUAUCACAAUUCUGAACAUCAAAGUUUAAGAAGUCUGUUUCCCUAGCAAAGGGUCUGUCUCACCGUUAGGCCUAUCAUUCCAGCUACUAUCCCAAUUUUGAAUCCUGUCGCCAAGUAUGGGCCGGUGAAGUAUAUUAGACUAGCUGAAGGUGGGUUGAUGCCUUUCCUUAUGUUCUUG